UUUCCGUAGGUGAACCUGCGGAAGGAUCAUUAACAAUAUUCUACUGCCAAUAUUUCCCUCUAGUUUCCAAACUCGAGUGGGAGGCAGGUCAUGAUCAUCCACUAUGUGCACGUAUCGAACCAUGCUUUGGCAGACAUUCUUUCUUUUGGAAGGACUGGGCGCUUGCGCCUAAGGGUAUGCCAAGGUCUAGUUUAAUCCCUAGCCUGAUCAUUGACUGAACAAUCUUGUACAAAAAACAAAUACAACUCUCAACAACGGAUCUCUUGGCUCUC
rnacentral:misc_RNA from 1 species